CAACUUUCAACAACGGAUCUCUUGGUUCUGGCAUCGAUGAAGAACGCAGCGAAAUGCGAUAAGUAGUGUGAAUUGCAGAAUUCAGUGAAUCAUCGAAUCUUUGAACGCACAUUGCGCCCCUUGGUAUUCCACGGGGCAUGCCUGUUCGAGCGUCAUUU
rnacentral:rRNA from 1 species